GACGAACGCUGGCGGCGUGCUUAACACAUGCAAGUCGAACGAAGUGGCGAACGGGUGAGUAACGCGUAAUCAACCUGCCCUUCAGAGGGGGAAAACAGUUGGAAACGACUGCUAAUACCGCAUACUGAAGGAGGGGAUUGCUUCUGAUUAGCUAGCUGGAGGGGUAACGGCCCACCAAGGCGAUGAUCAGUAGCCGGUCUGAGAGGGUGAACGGGCAAAUUGGGACUUGGACACGGCCCAGACGUCUACGGGAGGCAGCAGGUGGGAAUCUUCCGAAAUGGACGAAAGUCUGACGGAGCAACGCCCCGUGAGUGAUGACGGCCUUCGGGUUGUAAAGCUCUGUUAAUCGGGACGCGGUACCGGAAUAGAAAGCCACGGCUAACUACGUGCCAGCAGCCGCGGUAAUUC
rnacentral:rRNA from 1 species